UACGGAGGGUGCAAGCGUUGUCCGGAUUUAUUGGGUUUAAAGGGUGCGUAGGUGGCCCUAUAAGUCAGUGGUGAAAGCCUGCAGCUUAACUGUAGGAUUGCCAUUGAUACUGUAGGGCUUGAGUACUGAUGAGGUAGGCGGAAUUGAUAGUGUAGCGGUGAAAUGCAUAGAUAUCGGGAAGAACACCCGUGGCGAAGGCGGCACUCUGGGACGGUACUGACGCUGAGACGCGAAAGCGUGGGGAGCGAACAGG
rnacentral:rRNA from 1 species